GUGAACCUAUAGGUCUUCAGUGUGUGACAGGUUAGUACAGUGGUGAACCUAUAGGCCUUCAGUGUGUGACAGGUUAGUACAGUGGUGAACCUAUAGGCCUUCAGUGUGUGACAGGUUAGUACAGUGGUGAACCUAUAGGCCUUCAGUGUGUGACAGGUUAGUACAGUGGUGAACCUAUAGGCCUUCAGUGUGUGACAGGUUAGUACAGUGGUGAACCUAUAGGCCUUCAGUGUGUGACAGGUUAGUACAGUGGUAAACCUAUAGGUCUUCAGUG